rnacentral:lncRNA from 1 species
GGGAAUCGUCAACAACAAAUAAAUAGGGGGAGUGUAGCUUACGCACCACUUGCAAUUCACAAAAAUAUUUCAAGAGAUUUAUUCAUGGGUUUCUUUGCCAUAAAUCAUAUUUCAGUCGAUAACUGCCACGUUCUUCAAUCAGAAUGAAAUGUCAAGUGUAACCACACCAAAGCUGUUUACAGUGGUGUGGUUAUUACAGUUUAUACACAACAGAAGCCAGCACACUAUAAACAGGGGGCAAAGCCAACAACCAGGACACACACCGUUCUCAUACAGUAUCUCAAUCACACAAGCUAGCUGACAGCAGCGGGCCGCUCUAUAGUGACUAACGCGGACUGACUGUAAAAAUCCAGCAACUCCACAAGAAUCAUCAAAUUACAUUAUUUUGUUGCAUCGCUCUGGACCAGGGCGUAAUGUGCAGGUGCUGACACAGCUCUGAGUCAACAAGCUGCACGUAACACCCUGGAUCAGAGCUAGUUGUUGCAGUGCUUUGGCCUGAAAACGUAACAAACUAAGAGAUGGCACACUGGCGUGUAGAACACACUGGCGUGUAGAACACACUGGUGUGUAGAACACACUGGCGUGUAGAACACACUGGCAUGUCAGUGAAAAAGUAACAAUAUCUGCGCUGUGGUACAGUAUGUAUUACAAAAGUGUAUAUAACUCAAUCACUCUUCCUAACUAUUCUAAAAUCAGCUGGACGUUGUGUGGUUUUGUUAAGGAAAGAUGAGGUAGGAAGGUGGACAAAACAACCUCGCUCUCCAAAGUCUUCCCUUAGUUGGAUGUGUUACCGUGUUUAUAACUACUGACAGCCAAAGAAUCCAAGCCCACAUUGUUCAGAGACAUUGUGUAUCCUUCUCCACUCUCAAACAUAUGACAUUUAAAUCCUCAGCUCUCAACAUCAUCCCACAUCAGUAACCCCCACCCCUUACAUAUUUAACAUCAGGUAUCUUCCCAUCAAAAAGCUGAAGGACACAACUUCUUUAAUAAUAUUGGAUGUUUUGCUGUUGAUAACCACCACAGUAGCAAUAACUCGUCUUCUCAGAGAGGAGAACACCUCUCAUCAUCAGCCAAGUCAGAAACCUUUCAAUGAGUCGGCUUUAGUCAAGCGAAAACCACACAUCUGCAAUCAUGUCUUUGAUCAAAGCACAUUUCAACAGCUGAAAAAGAAAUAAAUAUCUAAUCUAUAACAUUGUGAUCCAUCCAUAUGAUAACACUGAAGGCUGUUUUA